rnacentral:lncRNA from 1 species
AUAAUGACAUUAGUGCCAAUGCAACAGCAAACUUUUUUUAUUCAUAGAUGGGAGCUGCUGGACGACCCGUCUCAAAGUGACCUCUGCAAGUGCUGUGACUCGAGUUGCAAGCCUCGGUUGAAGAGGGGUGUGGAUUCAGAACCCCAGGGCCUGGUUCAAAACUCUGUUCUUGGACCGCUCACAAUAGUGGAAAACUCUGAAACCCGGAUCCCCAGUGAAUUUGUAAAAUAUCCUACUGUAGAACAAGUUGACUGGUUGGUGUAAUGGUCUGGAACACUUUGCUUGUCAGGUGUGUGUGUGUGCUGGUUAUUUUACUGUAACAUCCCCCAACGGCAAUGAGAUGCAUGUUACUAACACUUCUUCAACCUGUUCCAGGGAUGGCUGUCUUUUCUGUCUCUACAGCCAUCUAAUUGUAGGUGGCCUGAAGGGUGCAUCACUUUCCACUAUCCCCAGUAUGGAUAUGAAGUCCUUUGACUUGAGCAUGUUUCAAUAAAAUGAGUACUUUACAAUGGUGUUUGUUUCUAAUGGUUGUCAAAAUGCUAUGAUCCUGAUGAGAUGUACCCUAAAUC